rnacentral:misc_RNA from 1 species
AUUUAGCCCCGGUAGAAGCAAGUAUCCCACGCUUUUGGGCGUGGAUACUGCGGAUGACGGGACAAAAA